UUCGAAAAAGAAAAACGCUCGCAUAAAUGUCAAAAACAAAAAUGUUUAUUUUUUUGUUAGGUACCGGAACAGUUUAUAAUUUAAAUCUACCAAUCUAAAUUUACUCAGCAGCUAUUAAAAGUAUAGGUUUGAUGAUAGGAAAACUUCUCGGAUACAGGAGAAGCCGAUGGCAGGAACACAAGCAUCCGGGACAUUCUCAACAGAAGCAGCCAACUCGAUCGACUUUCCAGUCAGCAAUGAUGACAACAGGAUGUGUAUGAAACAAGGCGAUCACUGUGACUUGCAAGACGAUACUAUAUACGCCGAGAUCUUUGCGAUACCCAUACGGAUACCAAGGUUAUCAAAGUUCUGACAACAGAUACGACACGAUGGAGGCCGGGGCGUCAUUGCAACUGGUACAAGCUUUCCUGUACAAUCCACGCAUCAUCUGCAACAUAUCUCCUACCAUCACAUUCAACGAGGGAUCAAUACGGAUAACUCAAAACUACUUUUGGCGAAACAACCUGAAGGAUCAUCAGCCGGGAGGCCAAUGCUGUUAAUUAUAAGUGAAUGCGAGGUGUUCUAUUAGAUAUCAUGUAUUGUGAGUA